rnacentral:snRNA from 1 species
GGAUGUAAAGGCGAUCUGGCUAUGACAUCUGUCACCCCGUUGAUUGCCAGGGUUGAUUUGGCUGAUCUGGCUGGCUAGGUGGGUGUCCCUUCCUCAACUCUCCACAUACGUCCCUCCAGAAGCUUUGUGCUUGGGAAGAGGAUGAUCUUCCUUGAUAGAGGAGGAUGGAUCAAGGGCAUAAGAGUAGCUGCGCUCCCCUGCUAGAACCUCCAAAUAAGCUCUCAAGAAAACAGGCUGAGCACAGGCCAGGGGAGCAAGACAGUAAGCUGUGUUCCUCCAUGGUCUGUGCUCCAGAUUCCU